UACGAAGGGUGCUAGCGUUGUUCGGAAUUACUGGGCGUAAAGGGCGCGUAGGCGGCACUGUUAGUCAGGCGUGAAAGCCCCGGGCUCAACCUGGGAACCGCGCUUGAGACUGGCACGCUCGAGUUCGGGAGAGGAUGGUGGAAUUCCCAGUGUAGAGGUGAAAUUCGUAGAUAUUGGGAAGAACACCGGUGGCGAAGGCGGCUAUCUGGCCCGUAAUUGACGCUGAGGCGCGAAAGCGUGGGGAGCAAACAGG
rnacentral:rRNA from 1 species